AGCAGGAGGUGGUGGUGGUGGUGGGAAUGGCUCUGGCUAUGGUUCAGGCUACGGAAGUGGGUCUGGAUAUGGAGGAGGAGCGGAAGAUGAUGGUGGUUACCCAUGAGCAAGAACAAGGAAGGGGUAUUUGUGCUUAGGUAGCAAUGUACUGUGUACGGCGUUCGUAUGUUGGAAUAAAAUUAUAUCGUAGCUGCUUUAUGACUUAUAUAUUCAUAAUAAUGUUUCCCUCUCGUUUUCAUGUAUUAUAUAAAUAAUAAAAGUAUCUUUUCUUUGUAAUUAAUUUUUA
rnacentral:misc_RNA from 1 species